UACGGAGGGUGCAAGCGUUAAUCGGAAUUAUUGGGCGUAAAGAGCUCGUAGGUGGUUUGCUGCGUCCGCUGUGAAAACCCAAGGCUUAACCUUGGGCUUGCAGUGGAUACGGGCAGACUAGAGGUAGGUAGGGGAGAAUGGAAUUCCCGGUGUAGCGGUGAAAUGCGCAGAUAUCGGGAGGAACACCGGUGGCGAAGGCGGUUCUCUGGGCCUUACCUGACACUGAGGAGCGAAAGCGUGGGGAGCGAACAGG
rnacentral:rRNA from 1 species